AAAUGAUCACAAAAAUAGCCUAAAUGUAUUUUAAUUGAUGAGUUAUUAUACUGGAACAUUUAGUGAGUUGGUUGCAUGGAUUUGAACUAGAUGAGUUGUUUAGAUUCUGUCCAUUGCAUUUCUUAAAACAUUGGGAUCAGAAUUGGUGAGUUAUCAAUGUCUGAUCCUAGUGUGUGUGGUCUGAUUAUUGCUGGAGUUUGAGUGAUGUUUCAGGUACACAAGUGUUGUUCUCUGCCCAUCAUCAAAUCAAGACAAAGAAGAAGGAUUUGCCCAUGCUGUUCAGAGCCUAUACAUGAUGUAUAUUCCUGUUUGAUCUAGAGCCUACACGUGAUGUAUAUUCCUGACCAUGGAAUUUUUUUUUUUUGAGGAGACCAGAUGGAAUAAGUGGCACUCAUAUCAAGCUUGUUUCCUUCACUAUACUCUGAGCCAAGCUUAAGGGGGGAAGUAAAUGAGCUUCCAUGGCCUGUCUAUAAACGCUUGCAAGAAGAAUUCAACAAGGACAACAACAACUUGGUGUUAGAAUAAAUGACCAUCAGAGACUACUUGACAAAAAGAUCAGGUGAAGAGUCAAGCUGAGUGGAUAGCUAUGAAUCAGCCCAAUGCAUGGAGUUAGAAUAGUUACCUUCUGAUUGGAAAGCUAUGGAUCAGCCUCUAAAAGGAGUUAGAACAACUACCUUCAGUUGGGAAGCUAUGAAUCAGGCCAUAGCAUGUGUGCUAGUACCAUGUUGAUGAAGCUUCUAGUUAAGAAAGGGUUUUUGAAUAUAUGAGGUGAGAUAGCUUGUGGUGCUGACACGUAUGAAAUGGCACACAUGUAAUAAACACAUGAAUGAAAUGUUAGUUAUAUACAAUGCUCCUCAAAUAAUAAGAAAGGGAUUAUAUGAUGAUACGUAUAAAAGCAGAAAAUACUUGAAAUUCCAAAAUAACAUGAAACAAAACAAAAACAAAUAAUGAGAAACUAUCUAUUUGAACUAGCUUUAAAAUAUACGAAAAUAGCCCAAUGUAAUUACCUAGCAAAUAGUGGACUUAAAUUAUUAAGAAAAAUUUAAAGUCUUUUGUAUUAUGAGAAACUAUAUGGGCCAACAUUAAAUAUACGAAAAUAACCCAAUCUAAUUACCUAAAAUUUAUUUUUUCUAAAAUAAACAUAAAACAAAAUUUUAACCUUAUAUACAUAUUUCAAAUCAAAAUAAUAAAUAAAAUUUAUUUAUAUAAAAAAUUGAUUCAAAACUAUACAUAUUCUCAAAAAUUGAUUUUUACCAAAUAUUUUCUAAGAACAAUUAUAAAAAAUAUUUUCAAUAUAUAUAAAAAUAAUACAAUACAAAGCCCAAUUUCAAACAACUAUUUAAAUUAUGGUUUUUAUAUUUCACAUUAAAUUUUAAAAAUAUCAUAUAUCUAUCUAUAUUAUUAAAACUACAGCACAUUUGAGAUUUGUUUGGAAAUAUGAAUAGUAGUAUAAAAAAGAAUAUAAUGUUGUUUGGGAAUAUGGAUAUCAAUAUAUUUAAAAAAGUAAUGGACUUAAGUUAUUAAAAAAAAUUGGAAGUCUAUUACAUUAUGAAAAAAACUAUAUGUAUGGGCCAACUUUAAUAUAUGAAAAUGGCCCAAUUUAAUUACCUAAAAAUAUAUUUUGUCUAAAAUAAUCAUAAAAGAAUUUAAAAUUUAUAUACAUAUUUCAAAUAAAAAAUAAUUUAAAAUUGAUUUAUAUCAAAAAUUGAUUCAAAAUAUACAUAUAUUUUUAAAAUAUUGAUUUUGCUAAAAUAUUUUCCAAUAACUAUUAUAAAAAAAUAUUUUCAGUAUAUAUAAGAAAAAUACAAUACAAAGCCAAAAUAUCAAACACAAACUUAAAUUAUUGUUUUGCUCGAUACCAGCAAAAAAAUUUGAUUAUCGCAUGGGAAGAAGUUCAUCUUCAAAGCAUUUUUCCAUAUUUCACAUUAAGUUUUUAAAACAUAAUAUGUACGUAAUUAUUUAUACGAUCAUACAUAUAAAAUACUAUUAGUUGUAAGAUUAUUUAUAUGAUGAUGCGUAUAAAAGCAGAAAAUACUUGAAAUUCCAAAAUAACAUGAAAUAAAACCAAAACAAAUAAGGAGAAACUAUCUAUCUCGACUAGUUUUAAAAUAUAUGAAAAUAGCCCAAUGUAAUUACCUAGCAAAUAAUGGGCUUAAAUUAUUUAAAAAAAAUUGGAAGUCUGUUAUAUUAUGAGAAACUAUCUCGGCCUAAAAUUACCUAAAAUUAUCUAGUCUAAAAUAAACAUAAAACAUAAUUUUAACCUUAUAUACAUAUUUCAAAUCAAAAUAAUAAAAAUAAAAUUUAUUUAUAUCAAAAAUUGAUUCAAAAAUAUUCAUAUUCUCAAAAUUUUAUUUUUACUAAAAUAUUUUCCAAGAACCAUUAUAAAACAUAUUUUCAGUAUAUAUAAAAAUAAUACAAUACAAAGCUCAAUUUCAAACACCUACUUAAAUUAUGGUUUUUAUAUUUCACAUUAAAUUUUAAAAAUAUAAUAUAUCUAUAUUAUUAAAACUAAAGUACAUUUGAGAUUCGUUUGGAAACAUGAAUAGCAGUAUAAAAAGGAAUAUAAUGUUGUUUAAACAUGUAUAUCAAUAUAUCAAAAAAUGCAAUGGGCUUAGGUUAAUAAAAAAAAAUUAGAAUUCCAUUAUAUUAUGAAAAACUAUAUGUUUGGACCAGCUUUAAUAUAUGAAAAUGACCAAAUUUAAUUACAUAAAAAUAUCUUUUGUCUAAAACAAUCAUAAAACAAAAUUUAAAAUUUAUAUACAUAUUUUAAAUAAAAAAUUAAUUUUAAAUUAGUUUAUACCGAAAAUUGAUUCAAAAUAUACAUAUACUCAAAAUUUGAUUUUACUAAAGUAUU